GUGAAUCAUCAAAUCUUUGAACGCAAAUUGCACUCUCUGGUAUUCCGGAGGGUAUGCCUGUUUGAGGGUCAUUUAAAUAAAAAUCGUUGGUUUGUUGCCGCGUUGCGUAGUGACGCAUCGUGUUUGAGUCGUCUUACGGUCAGUUAAGGGUCCUAAAAUUUUGCAUUAAUUUCGAACGUAUCUGAUUAAUGUACGUACGUUGGUGAUAUCGGA
rnacentral:misc_RNA from 1 species